ensembl:lncRNA
GAAGUUUCAUGGGGACGCAGCCCACUGGGUCACGUGACGUGUGUGCUGCUCUCACACUAACACACGGACAGGAUGACCUGACGGCAUGAAAAUGAUGACAACUAGCCCUUCACAGGAACCGUCUGCCGACCAGGACCACGUAGACAAGCGCUGCCCGGGUGAGGCUGUGCUUCCUGGGGACCCCGGGGACCAUGGAGCACGCUUGUGACCCCACAUCUAUUCACACCCAGGGGUAGGAGCACCAGCACACGCCCAGCGGGAACACUCAGGACCACAGAACGCGGCCUGUGUCCCCAGAGACCAGAGGGGGUCCCCAGGUGCACGGGGGGCACAGAGCGGGCCCCCCAGGAGGAUGGUUUGCCAAACCUCCAUGCAACAGAAACGAUGGAGCCCAGACGCACUCAGUCAGCAUGUGAGUCCUGCUGAGACGUCCCGACACCCUAGAACCUCACACGGGACCCGCCCAGAGACACUCACACACCACCAACAGCCACACCUCCCGCCACAGGCACAGGCCCAGCGUGCGGGCAGCACGACCACCAGAGCAGCAACCAACACGAGCCGUGAGUGAGGGGACGUGAUGAGAGAGUGGGGGCCGCGUCAGCUCUGUGACCCUCACCCCUGCACGGGGAGCUCACCCUUGUGCACGAGGUCGUCCACUUCCUGACAAUAAAUCAGCAUCCAUGCUUCUCCUGCGUCAGGCACAUCCACACUGUCCCGUUGUUUUAAGCUCCCGAAAUCCCACAGGUGACGUCCUCGCUGUCUCGGGCACGUCCGUGUCAGCAUCCCGCUCGGCCGGGCCUUUCCUGUGGUCCAGGCCUGUCUCCUGCAGGGACGCACGAGCAGUGGGGUGACUCCCCUCAUCCCUGCACCCCAGGCGCAUCCUGGGCUCCUGGAGGAGGCGGCCAAGGUGGGAGUGGGCAGGGGAGCCGCACGGCCUGGGGCUUUGGGUGCCGCCCACACCCCACCCCCACGUCAGUCUCCCCACAACCACAGGCCUGGGGUCUCCAAACGGCCAAGCCUGCAGCCUGAAGGGACCCGGGACAGGACGGCUAAACGUCACGGGGUCCUCGGCUGACGCUGAGUGGGGCUCAGAGAAGCUGUGAUGGAGCCGUGAGCACAGGCCCCGUGAGGACGUCCAUGCCAUCCAGCCCAGUGCCCGCGAUCGACGGCUGUGACGUGGCUGCUAAGGGUCACCUGUGGACCACGCACGCACGCACGCAUUUCUAGAGCCGGAUUCAGUCUGCAGCCCACUCGCAAGUGCGCCUGCAACCACACAGGACUUUCUGAAGAUGUUCCACACAUAUUGUGAGACGUGAGAAAUUACUGUAGAUCCUACAUCUGCCAUCAAUGGAUGAAGAAAGCAAAACACAGUCCAUCCCCACAAUGGAAUAUUACGCAGCCCUGAAAAGGAAGGAAACUCUGUACCUGGUACAUCAUGAAUGGGCCUUGACGACAUGAUGCUCAGCGACGUCAGCCGACACAGAUGGACAGAUACUGUGUGACUCCACUCACAGGAGGUCACAGAGGAGUCAGAUCCAUAGAAACAGAAAGUAGACGUGGAGCCAGGUCUGAGAGAGGGGGGUGGGGACUGCGUUUAAUGGCGUGGACGGGGACACUGCAGCCACGAGGAGCCAAACCUGAGUCUUCCACAGCAGGUCAGAGCUGAGGGACUGAAGGCUGCACGUGGCGGGGGCCACAAGGAUGAGGACAGUCACACACGUGGGGCCUCAUGGGAAGGGCUCGCGGGGGCUCCCGAGUCACGUCCUGUCUUGACUCAGAUGGUGACUACAUCAUCCCACGUUAUACAGAUUCGUUACAUGUGUACAACACGCCCUGCAAUAACCAAUAAAGUCUGUAAUUUUCUUUAUGAAAAGGGGUCUUCCCAGCCCGUGCAAAGGCCCUUCCCCAGGAGUGUUCAGAGCUGG